rnacentral:rRNA from 1 species
UACGUAGGGUGCAAGCGUUAAUCGGAAUUACUGGGCGUAAAGCGUGCGCAGGCGGCUUUGCAAGACAGGUGUGAAAUCCCCGGGCUCAACCUGGGAACUGCAUUUGUGACUGCAUGGCUAGAGUACGGUAGAGGGGGAUGGAAUUCCGCGUGUAGCAGUGAAAUGCGUAGAUAUGCGGAGGAACACCGAUGGCGAAGGCAAUCCCCUGGACCUGUACUGACGCUCAUGCGCGAAAGCGUGGGGAGCAAACAGG